rnacentral:lncRNA from 1 species
CGCCGCACGAGGGCGUCUCCGAUCAGCGCGUCCAAAGACCAAAAUCUUAGACGGGGGAACAAGGAGAUAAAGAAAAGGUCCUACCCCUUCCCUAAGCCCAAGUCAGACGGCUGCGAAGGACCGAUAACGACAGAUCUAAGGGUCGAUUCAGGUAUGAUUCCCGUUUCCUUUUUAUAUUUCGAAAAUAUUUUAAAAUAAUAAUAAUAAUAAUAAUAAUAACAAAAAGAAAAUCGCAUGCAAAGGAAAACAGAAAAAGGAAGGUCUCAAAUCACCUUAGUUUUUUAUUUUUAUUUCUUAGUUUCGUAAAAAAGGAAGAAGAGUUACAAAACACCAGAUUUUUGGCUUUUAAAGCCGAUCUAAACAACUCCUAAUAUCCAUUUUUGUUGUUUUGUGAUUUGGAUUGUCUAUUUGUUGUUUUCUGCCUUGUUGGUUUCUCUUUGCAGGUGUCAGAGGCGUGCGAUGGAGGUGUCAGACGCGUGGUGGUGAUAGGCCGGUGGUGGUUGCAGCGUCGAGGGGACUAGGCUAGAGCGUGCGGCACUGAAGGCUCCUGCUAGGGUUUUUUUGUUGUAAAAUUUUUUAAUUCGUUGGCCUUGGGCUAGUAUUGUUAAUUGGGCUUGGGUUGUUGUUUUCUUUGGGCUUUGGGGCCAAAUUAGGCCCGGGCAAAAUUUGGGCCUUACAGAAGUUAC